GAUGAACGCUGGCGGCGUGCCUAAUACAUGCAAGUCGAGCGAACGGACGAGAAGCUUGCUUCUCUGAUGUUAGCGGCGGACGGGUGAGUAACACGUGGAUAACCUACCUAUAAGACUGGGAUAACUUCGGGAAACCGGAGCUAAUACCGGAUAAUAUUUUGAACCGCAUGGUUCAAAAGUGAAAGACGGUCUUGCUGUCACUUAUAGAUGGAUCCGCGCUGCAUUAGCUAGUUGGUAAGGUAACGGCUUACCAAGGCAACGAUGCAUAGCCGACCUGAGAGGGUGAUCGGCCACACUGGAACUGAGACACGGUCCAGACUCCUACGGGAGGCAGCAGUAGGGAAUCUUCCGCAAUGGGCGAAAGCCUGACGGAGCAACGCCGCGUGAGUGAUGAAGGUCUUCGGAUCGUAAAACUCUGUUAUUAGGGAAGAACAUAUGUGUAAGUAACUGUGCACAUCUUGACGGUACCUAAUCAGAAAGCCACGGCUAACUACGUGCCAGCAGCCGCGGCAAUACGUAGGUGGCAAGCGUUAUCCGGAAUUAUUGGGCGUAAAGCGCGCGUAGGCGGUUUUUUAAGUCUGAUGUGAAAGCCCACGGCUCAACCGUGGAGGGUCAUUGGAAACUGGAAAACUUGAGUGCAGAAGAGGAAAGUGGAAUUCCAUGUGUAGCGGUGAAAUGCGCAGAGAUAUGGAGGAACACCAGUGGCGAAGGCGACUUUCUGGUCUGUAACUGACGCUGAUGUGCGAAAGCGUGGGGAUCAAACAGGAUUAGAUACCCUGGUAGUCCACGCCGUAAACGAUGAGUGCUAAGUGUUAGGGGGUUUCCGCCCCUUAGUGCUGCAGCUAACGCAUUAAGCACUCCGCCUGGGGAGUACGACCGCAAGGUUGAAACUCAGAGGAAUUGACGGGGACCCGCACAAGCGGUGGAGCAUGUGGUUUAAUUCGAAGCAACGCGAAGAACCUUACCAAAUCUUGACAUCCUUUGACAACUCUAGAGAUAGAGCCUUCCCCUUCGGGGGACAAAGUGACAGGUGGUGCAUGGUUGUCGUCAGCUCGUGUCGUGAGAUGUUGGGUUAAGUCCCGCAACGAGCGCAACCCUUAAGCUUAGUUGCCAUCAUUAAGUUGGGCACUCUAAGUUGACUGCCGGUGACAAACCGGAGGAAGGUGGGGAUGACGUCAAAUCAUCAUGCCCCUUAUGAUUUGGGCUACACACGUGCUACAAUGGACAAUACAAAGGGCAGCGAAACCGCGAGGUCAAGCAAAUCCCAUAAAGUUGUUCUCAGUUCGGAUUGUAGUCUGCAACUCGACUACAUGAAGCUGGAAUCGCUAGUAAUCGUAGAUCAGCAUGCUACGGUGAAUACGUUCCCGGGUCU
rnacentral:rRNA from 1 species